rnacentral:rRNA from 1 species
UACGGAGGGUGCGAGCGUUAUUCGGAAUUAUUGGGCGUAAAGAGCGCGUAGGCGGCCUUACAAGUCAGGUGUGAAAUCCCGGGGCUCAACCCCGGAAGGGCAUUUGAUACUGUAGGGCUUGAGUAUGGGAGAGGGAAGUGGAAUUCCUGGUGUAGCGGUGAAAUGCGUAGAUAUCAGGAGGAACACCGGUGGCGAAGGCGGCUUCCUGGACCAAUACUGACGCUGAGGCGCGAAGGCGUGGGGAGCAAACAGG